rnacentral:rRNA from 1 species
AUUGAACGCUGGCGGCAGGCCUAACACAUGCAAGUCGAACGAGUGGCGGACGGGUGAGUAAUGUCUGGGAAACUGCCUGAUGGAGGGGGAUAACUACUGGAAACGGUAGCUAAUACCGCAUACCAUCAGAUGUGCCCAGAUGGGUUUAGCUUGUUGGUGGGGUAACGGCUCACCAAGGCGACGAUCCCUAGCUGGUCUGAGAGGAUGACCAGCCACUGUGGAAUGGAGAUACGGUCCAGACUCCUACGGAAGGCAGCAGUGGGGAAUAUGGCACAAUGGGCGCAAUCCUGAUGCAGCCAUGCAGAGUGUAUGAAGAAGGCCUUCGGGUUGUAAAGUAUUUUCAGCGGGGAUGCGUUGCCCGCAGAAGAAGCACCGGCUAACUCCGUGCCAGCAGCCGCGGUAAUUC